ensembl:misc_RNA
CUUAGGCCUGCCCCAGCCUCGUGCGCCUCUGCUGACUUGAUAUGGCUGGAAAAGAAAAACAACUUCCUAAAUGCCUGUUUGAUAACCCUGCAGUACAGCUCCAGCAAAAACC